AUUGAACGCUAGCGGGAUGCCUUACACAUGCAAGUCGAACGAGUGGCGAACGGGUGAGUAAUGUAUCGGAACGUGCCCGAUGGAGGGGGAUACCUACUGGAAACGGUAGCUAAUACCGCAUACCAUCGGAUGUGCCCAGAUGGGAUUUGCUAGUAGGUGGGGUAACGGCUCACCUAGCCGACGAUCCCUAGCUGGUCUGAGAGGAUGACCAGCCACACUGGAACUGAGACACGGUCCAGCCUCCUACGUGAGGCAGCAGUGGGGAAUAUUGCACAAUGGGCGCAAGCCUGAUGCAGCCAUGCCGCGUGUAUGAAGAAGGCCUUCGGGUUGUAAAGUACUUUCAGCGAGGAGGCGUUACUCGCAGAAGAAGCACCGGCUAACUCCGUGCCAGCAGCCGCGGUAAUUC
rnacentral:rRNA from 1 species